rnacentral:rRNA from 1 species
AUAUUGCGCAAUGGGCGAAAGCCUGACGCAGCGACGCCGCGUGAGGGAUGAAGGUUUUCAGAUCGUACACCUAUGUCAGAAGGGAAGAAGUUGCAUGGGGCCAAUCAUCUGUGCAUUGACGGUACCUUCAAAGGAAGCACCGGCUAACUCCGUGCCAACAGCCGCGGUAAUACGGAGGGUGCGAGCGUUAAUCGGAAUUACUGGGCGUAAAGCGCACGUAGGCUGUAUGUCAAGUCAAGGGUGAAAUCCCACGGCUCAACCGUGGAACUGCCUUUGAAACUGGCAAACUGGAGUAUGUGAGAGGGCGGCGGAAUUCCUGGUGUAGGAGUGAAAUCCGUAGAUAUCAGGAGGAACAUCAGUGGCGAAGGCGGCCGCCUGGCACAAAACUGACGCUGAGGUGCGAAAGCGUGGGUAGCAAACAGG